AUUGAACGCUGGCGGAAUGCUUUACACAUGCAAGUCGAGCGGCAGCGCGGGGCAACCUGGCGGCGAGCGGCGAACGGGUGAGUAAUGCAUCGGAACGUACCCCGUCGUGGGGAAGUAACUACCCGAAAGGGUAGCUAAUACCGCAUACGACCUGAGGGUGAAAGACGGGGGACCGGAAAGGCCUCGCGCGAUGGGAGCGGCCGAUGCCGGAUUAGCUAGUUGGUAGGGUAAAGGCCUACCAAGGCGACGAUCCGUAGCUGGUCUGAGAGGACGACCAGCCACACUGGAACUGAGACACGGUCCAGACUCCUACGGGAGGCAGCAGUGGGGAAUUUUGGACAAUGGGCGAAAGCCUGAUCCAGCCAUUCCGCGUGAGUGAAG
rnacentral:rRNA from 1 species